rnacentral:rRNA from 1 species
CCCUUAGAUGUUCUGGGCCGCACGCGCGCUACACUGACGAAUGCAACGAGCUUAUAACCUUGGCCGAAAGGUCUGGGUAAUCUCCAAAUUUCGUCGUGAUGGGGAUAGAUUAUUGCAAUUAUUAAUCUUCAACGAGGAAUGCCUAGUAAGCGCAAGUCAUCAGCUUGCGUUGAUUACGUCCCUGCCCUUUGUACACACCGCCCGUCGCUCCUACCGAUUGAAUGGUCCGGUGAAGCGCUCGGACCGCGGCCUCUUGACGGUUUUCCGUCGAUUGGCUGUGGGAAGUUCGUUAAACCUUAUCAUUUAGAGGAAGGAAAANUCGUANCA